GGUUUUGAUCUAUAUUUUUUUCUUUUGUGUGGAUGUGUAUCCCUAUAUAUUCUAGUACUCAGUGAUUAACUUACAGAUCAUCUCAAAACAAUUUCAAUGAAUAGAUACUAUCGAUAUUUGGUGCUAAUCACCACCAUCUUCUUCAUUACCUUUGCUUGUUCUGAAGAGCUUCAGUGCUGUUCAGACAAAACAACCGAGGUGGUUCACAAAGAGAGACUAGUCAUCAAUGGCAAGAGAGCUCAUGGAAGCAUUUCACAAAUGAGCAGGGCAAGAGGUGUUUAUGGAGGGGGAUCCCUUAUCAGACCUAAAGGAAAGAAGAAAGAGCCAUGGCCUCCAUGACUAAAUCUGCUUCAAGUAGCAGUCGCAAUUAUGAUCCAUCUUUUCUUAUGCUGACAUGUAAAAUCUUUGAUAAAAUACUUUCUUGAUGCGCAAACUGGUCUUGAUGCAUAAACCCUUAGCAGGGCUCCUAACUUGAAAAAUAAAUAAUCUCACCUUCAAUAUUGCAUAUGUACAUGUAUAUAUAGCAAAAGGAGAUAUAUAUGUAUCAAAACAGAACGUUUUACAAA